rnacentral:rRNA from 1 species
UCCGUAGGCGGGCUAAUAAGUCAGGGGUGAAAUCCCACAGCUUAACUGUGGAACUGCCUUUGAUACUGUUAGUCUUGAGUUAUAUGGAAGUAGAUAGAAUGUGUAGUGUAGCGGUAAAAUGCAUAGAUAUUACACAGAAUACCGAUUGCGAAGGCAGUCUACUACGUAUAUACUGACGCUAAUGGACGAAAGCGUGGGGAGCGAACAGGAUUAGAUACCCUGGUAGUCC